rnacentral:tRNA from 1 species
UGGGAUGUAGCUCAGUUGGUAGUGUGCUUGUCUGGCACACAAGAAGCCUUGGGUUUGAAGCCCAGCACCCCAU